AUUGAACGCUGGCGGCAGGCCGAACACAUGCAAGUCGAACGAGUGGCGGACGGGUGAGUAAUGUCCGGGAAACUGCCUGAUGGAGGGGGAUAACGACUGGAAACGGUAGCUAAUACCGCAUACCAUCGGAUGUGCCCAGAUGGGAUUAGCUAGUAGGUGGGGUAAAGGCUCACCGAGGCGACGAUCCCUAACUGGUCUGCGAGGAUGACCAGCCACGCUGGAACUGAGACACUGUCCAGACUCCUACGAUAGGCGGCAGUGGGUGAUAUUUCACAGUGGGUGCGAGCCUGAUGCAGCCAUGCCGCGUGUAUGAAGACGGCCUGCGGGUUGUAAAGUACUUUCAGCGGGGCGGCGUUGCCCGCAGAAGAAGCACCGGCUAACUCCGUGCCAGCAGCCGCGGUAAUAC
rnacentral:rRNA from 1 species